CUUCUUUCAAACGUCAAUAAACAUCUGCAUUUCCAUAACAUUCUUUUUACAAGUGCAAUGCAACAAUUUAACAAAUAAACAUUUUGAUUUCUUACACUCAAAUCUACUUGGUAUUUCACAUUAAACCAAUCUAUUUUUGUCUUCCAAAUUUUAGAUACCCAGGACCAAGCGGACCUUGCAAUAUUACAUUCAAAAAACACGUGAAUAAUGGAUUCCACACCACCACACCUCAUACAACGUUCAUCUCUAACCCUAUGGUAAAGACGUUUAAUUCCUUCCAAUAUCUCUUCUUGCAAAUACUCCUUGGUCUGUGAGUCUCUAAAUAAAUUCCUCUUCUGUCGAUGGUACUGAUGUCACAUCCAUUAACUCGUCCGAGCCGAUUACUACCGCACUGGAACGUCGACGGAGACUACGAUUAGUCGACCCAUCGCGGAUGGAAGGAGACCUUCCCCUACCACCUAGGGCCUCCACAGAAGCAUUUUCCACGCUCGUCGAUGGGGUGGGCUCCCCCAUCCACCAGCUUCGGCUAUCAGCCGAAAAAUCAAAAGUAAAUGAAUAAAAGGUCGGUAAAUCUUAAACAA